GCAGGCUGCAACCCGCCUGUAUGAAGUUGGAAUCGCUAGUAAUCGCGGAUCAGCAUGCCGCGGUGAAUACGUUCCCGGGCCUUGUACACACCGCCCGUCACACCAUGAGAGUCGGGAACACCCGAAGUCCGUAGCCUAACCGCAAGGAGGGCGCGGCCGAAGGUGGGUUCGAUAAUUGGGGUGAAGUCGUAACAAGGUACC
rnacentral:rRNA from 1 species